rnacentral:rRNA from 1 species
CUUACAUCCUUCUUCGGAGCAUUUUACGUAGGUGCUGCAUGGUUUGUCGUCAGCUCGUGCCGUGAGGUGUCGGGUUAAGUCCCAUAACGAGCGCAACCCCUAUCAUUUAGUUGCCAUCAGGUCAAGCUGGGGACUCUAAUGAAACUGCCUACGCAAGUAGUGAGGAAGGUGGGGAUGACGUCAAGUCAUCAUGGCCCUUAUGUCCUGGGCUACACACGUGCUACAAUGGCCGGUACAGAGUGAAGCGAAACCGCGAGGUGAAGCAAAACGCAGAAAGCCGGUCUCAGUACGGAUUGGAGUCUGAAACUCGACUUCAUGAAGUUGGAAUCGCUAGUAAUCGCGCAUCAGCAUGGCGCGGUGAAUACGUUCCCGGGCCUU